rnacentral:rRNA from 1 species
CCUACGGGAGGCAGCAGUGGGGAAUAUUGCACAAUGGGGGAAACCCUGAUGCAGCGACGCCGCGUGAGUGAAGAAGUAUUACGGUAUGUAAAGCUCUAUCAGCAGGGAAGAAAAUGACGGUACCUGACUAAGAAGCCCCGGCUAACUACGUGCCAGCAGCCGCGGUAAUACGUAGGGGGCAAGCGUUAUCCGGAUUUACUGGGUGUAAAGGGAGCGUAGACGGCCAGACAAGUCAGAAGUGAAAGCCCAGGACUCAACCCUGGGACUGCUUUUGAAACUGCCGGGCUGGAGUGCAGGAGAGGUAAGCGGAAUUCCUAGUGUAGCGGUGAAAUGCGUAGAUAUUAGGAGGAACACCAGUGGCGAAGGCGGCUUACUGGACUGUAACUGACGUUGAGGCUCGAAAGCGUGGGGAGCAAACAGGAUUAGAUACCCCUGUAGUC